rnacentral:misc_RNA from 1 species
UCACCCCUCAAGCCCCGUGCUUGGUGUUGGACGGCCGGUCGAGGGCCCCCUCUCGACCCCUCCUAAAGACAAUGACGGCGGCCUGUGGUUCCCCCGGUACACUGAGCUUCUCACCGAGCACGUACCGGACAAGGGCGCCCAGGACCCGGUCCUCUCCUCCUCGUGGGGAAAUAUUUACAAGG